UUAAGACCAAAAAGCGAAUUUUUGUUUUCAUAAAUGUUUACGAUAUAGCCAAUUUUGACUGUGGAUCAGCUCUAGUAGUGACUGACAACCCUCGUCAAUGAUACCUCGAAACCAAUGUCAUCACACAUGCGACUGCAAGUCAAUAUGUCAUAAAAAUAUUGUCAUUGAUAGGAGCAAUAAACAAGUGCCCCAAUUUCAAUUUCAACACUAGAAAAUUCAUAUUUUGGGCUUGUUUAUGGCCGAUAACCGCGCGAACAAUGUACCCCACGGACUUUAAUAUGGGCAAAUAUGUCAGCACAAAAGGGCUGCGAGUUCAGGAUCUUGUGUCGGAGGACCGCUCGAACCCUCUAUCCCACGGACUUCAAUAUUCAGUAUGAGAUGUACACCAUUGAGAGAAAUGCAGAGAAGACAGCUUCAGCGGGCAGAGUGCUGUACGACAUGGGAGUGAAAGUUCUUAUCUCUGUACUCAUGCACACACUCACAGUACUGUUGAUGACUGAUAUAAAUGCUGUUGUUUGUAUUGUGUCCUUCAGGUUGAUAAAUUUCCCUGAUCUGCCUGUGGUGUGGCGGUAGAUCACUGUCAUCACAGCUGCCCUGCGUAGCGAAUGUCAGAACAAACAUGCUCAGUUUCUAUGGGUGUUGUGUGUGUUUAUUGUAGGUCUGUUUGAAACCCUGCCUGGCCCAGUGCAGUGUGAGAUGCUGCUGAAGGCCACAGAGCAGUCUUUCAACACCCUGGAGAAAGCUGAGAUGCUCCUGCUACUGCUCAGGUGCUUCCCAGAGUCUGUGGUCCAACACGGGGUCAACCUGGGAGAGUCCCGGUUGAAGGUGGAGACGGCUGAAAAACUGGAGACGCCUGUCAACUGUUUCAGGAAGCUGUUUGGUUUCAGGAAGCUGUUUGGCACCACACAGUGACGCGUGGCAUCACUAAGGGGGUGAAGGAGGACUUCCGUCUGGCUAUGGAGAGACAGGUGUUACGCAGCGCGGAGAACCUGUAUACUGUCCUCCACCGCUUCUGUAUCAAUGAGAAGAUCAUCAUCAUCAUCCAGUCCCUGCCCUGACCUCUGACCCCUUCACCUUUGACCCUUGGACAUCUGACAUUUGAACCAGUUAAGACCCGGAGCCCUGGCUCAUGGUUCUAAUGUCCACAGUGAAACCCUGGUCGCUGUGCCUCUUGUGUGCCCAGAAGACCAUCGUCGUCUUCCAUCAGACCUGACAAUUGAACUCCGGACCCCUCAACUAUAACCAAAUAACACACAUAAUUAGAAAGAGAUUCCUUGUUUCCCUCUUUCUAGGCUUUAUCUGUGGUGCUAAUGUUACUCACGAGCAUAAAAUCUUCUGUACUUGUACUACUUGCCUUAAUAUUAGAUAAUGACUUUCAAAGGAUGUAUUCGGUAACUUGAGAAGGUUCUGUACUUGGGGAGGAUUCUGUUUCUGGGGAUACUUAACAGGGAUUGGUCUACUGUGUCUGUGGUAUUUGCUCUCUCUCUGCCAUUGGCUAUCUUGAUACCUUUUGUUUAUUUUUCCUUUUUGGAUCAUUUUGUGUUGCCUGUCUCCCCAAACUCUUUACUCCGGCCAAAUGCUAUGCCACGCCCACGGACAUUAGUUUCUUCUCCGCAAUGAGACUGGUUUGAGUACCUCCACGAUGAUUUCUAGAAUGGAUUGGUCCCAAAAACCAAUGGGUUGGGCCAGAGCCAGAACACACGUGGGUAAAACAGUGUUUGAAAAUUCGUCAUUGGCUUUGAUACU